rnacentral:rRNA from 1 species
UGGGGGAAUUUUGGACAAUGGGCGAAAGCCUGAUCCAGCAACGCCGCGUGAGGGAUGACGGCCUUCGGGUUGUAAACCUCUUUCAGUACCGACGAAGCGAAAGUGACGGUAGGUACAGAAGAAGGACCGGCCAACUACGUGCCAGCAGCCGCGGUAAUACGUAGGGUCCGAGCGUUGUCCGGAAAUUAUUGGGCGUAAAUGGGCUCGUAGGCGGUUUGUCGCGUCGGGAGUGAAAAACAGCGGGCUUAACUCGUUGCUUGCUUUCGAUACGGGCAGACUAGAGGUAUGCAGGGGAGAAUGGAAUUCCUGGUGUAGCGGUGAAAUGCGCAGAUAUCAGGAGGAACACCGGUGGCGAAGGCGGUUCUCUGGGCAUUACCUGACGCUGAGGAGCGAAAGUGUGGGGAGCGAACAGGAUUAGAUACCCCUGGUAGUCCACACCGUAAAACGUUGGGCGCUAGGUGUGGGGUCCUUUCCACGG